rnacentral:rRNA from 1 species
GUCUAUGGCUACACCACCCUGAACACGCCCCAUCUCAUCUGCUCUUGGAAGCUAAACAGUCAGGCCUGGUUAAUUCUUAGAAGGGAGACUUUGUCUCACAAAGAGAACAAAACAACCAGGGCCUAGGCG